rnacentral:rRNA from 1 species
GACGUAGGGCGCGAGCGUUGUCCGGAUUUAUUGGGCGUAAAGAGCUCGUAGGCGGCUUGUCGCGUCGACCGUGAAAACUUGGGGCUCAACCCUAAGCCUGCGGUCGAUACGGGCAGGCUAGAGUUCGGUAGGGAGACUGGAAUCCUGGUGUAGCGGUGAAAUGCGCAGAUAUCAGGAGGAACACCAAUGGCGAAGGCAGCUCGCUGGGACGGUACUGACGCUGAGACGCGAAAGCGUGGGGAGCAAACAGG